GGCGGCUUGUUGUGCACUGUGUUGGUUUCCGGCUGCCUGUGUGCCUUCUUGGUUGCACAGAGCCAUGGGGUUGGUGGUUCCUUCGAAUCUCUGUUGUUCGGAAUGUUUUCGGAGUUUCUUCUUUUCUCUAUUUCUAAAGAGCCUACACAUACUGCACGGAUUCAUACUGCAGGGAUUAUGAAAAAGAAGUAGAAUAUAUUCUAGAAUAAGGAAAAAAGCAUGAGUAUUCAAAAGACUUUAUUUUUCCAAUCAAGAGAAGUAUAGAAACAGCUUUAAAUAAGGCAUGAGAGCACCACAAUAAAAGUAAUGCAGAUAUACAAUGCUGCAUGAAAGCUCAGAAGACAAUUACAUUGCAGUACCAUACUACUUAGAAAAAUGCCCAGCAAUUAAGAAAGCGGUAAAACUAAUGAAAAAGAAACUUACCCUGAAGAGAGACUCUUCUGUGUUUUCGUAUUUAAGAAAUAGCAAAGCUAAAUUAGAAGACAAGUGUAAAGCAGGGGUUUAUAGUAUUACAGUGAGGGAUAGGAAUACUAAACGAAAUGAAAUACAUCAGGGUCACAGGUCGCACUUUAGCCAAACAAGUCAGCGAGCACAGAAGUGACAUAAAAGAAGGGAAAACCUCUACUGCACUAGCCGAAGAAUACUAUGCAUUGGAUGUUGAAAUUCUGUGGGACCAGGCUAGAAUAAUCAAGAGGACAGACAACCUUGAGCAAGGCCUGAUUAGGGAGUCUAGAAAUAGAGAAAAGAAGAAAUUCCGAAAACAUCCUGGGUGGCAGAGAUUCAAAGGAAAUACUGAUCCCAUAGCU
rnacentral:lncRNA from 1 species